AGNCUNUACUGCAGUCGAGCGGACAGAUGGGAGCUUGCUCCCUGAUGUUAGCGGCGGACGGGUGAGUAACACGUGGGUAACCUGCCUGUAAGACUGGGAUAACUCCGGGAAACCGGGGCUAAUACCGGAUGCUUGUUUGAACCGCAUGGUUCAAACAUAAAAGGUGGCUUCGGCUACCACUUACAGAUGGACCCGCGGCGCAUUAGCUAGUUGGUGAGGUAACGGCUUCACCAAGGCAACGAUGCGUAGCCGACCUGAGAGGGUGAUCGGCCACACUGGGACUGAGACACGGCCCAGACUCCUACGGGAGGCAGCAGUAGGGAAUCUUCCGCAAUGGACGAAAGUCUGACGGAGCAACGCCGCGUGAGUGAUGAAGGUUUUCGGAUCGUAAAGCUCUGUUGUUAGGGAAGAACAAGUACCGUUCGAAUAGGGCGGUACCUUGACGGUACCUAACCAGAAAGCCACGGCUAACUACGUGCCAGCAGCCGCGGUAAUACGUAGGUGGCAAGCGUUGUCCGGAAUUAUUGGGCGUAAAGGGCUCGCAGGCGGUUUCUUAAGUCUGAUGUGAAAGCCCCCGGCUCACCCGGGGAGGGUCAUUGGAAACUGGGGAACUUGAGUGCAGAAGAGGAGAGUGGAAUUCCACGUGUAGCGGUGAAAUGCGUAGAGAUGUGGAGGAACACCAGUGGCGAAGGCGACUCUCUGGUCUGUAACUGACGCUGAGGAGCGAAAGCGUGGGGAGCGAACAGGAUUAGAUACCCUGGUAGUCCACGCCGUAAACGAUGAGUGCUAAGUGUUAAGGGGGUUUCCGCCCCUUAGUGCUGCAGCUAACGCAUUAAGCACUCCGCCUGGGGAGUACGGUCGCAAGACUGAAACUCAAAGGAAUUGACGGGGGCCCGCACAAGCGGUGGAGCAUGUGGUUUAAUUCGAAGCAACGCGAAGAACCUUACCAGGUCUUGACAUCCUCUGACAAUCCUAGAGAUAGGACGUCCCCUUCGGGGGCAGAGUGACAGGUGGUGCAUGGUUGUCGUCAGCUCGUGUCGUGAGAUGUUGGGUUAAGUCCCGUCAACGAGCGCAACCCUUGAUCUUAGUUGCCAGCAUUCAGUUGGGCACUCUAAGGUGACUGCCGGUGACAAACCGGAGGAAGGUGGGGAUGACGUCAAAUCAUCAUGCCCCUUAUGACCUGGGCUACACACGUGCUACAAUGGACAGUAACAAAGGGCAGCGAAACCAGCGAGGUUAAGCCAAUCCCACAAAUCUGUUCUCAGUUCGGAUCGCAGUCCUGCAACUCGACUGCGUGAAGCUGGAAUCAAGCUAGAUAAUCGCGGAUCAGCAUGUUCCGCGGUGAAUACGUUCCCGGGCUCUUGUACACACCGCCCGUCACACCACGAGAGUCUUGNAAGCACCCGAAGUCGGUGAGGUAAACCNUAC
rnacentral:rRNA from 1 species